AGGCUAAAACUUUAGAAUGCUGGAGUGGCUUACCAUUUUAUAUCCCAUUUCCACAAGCAGCAUGAGUGAUCCAGUUCCUCCGUAUCCUUGCCAACAUCUGGGAUUAUUUUUAAGCCAUUUUGGUAGGUGUGUAGUGAUAUUUUAUUUUGAUUUUAUAAUAAUAUUUUCUCUGCGGCUGAGAACAAAGGAAGGACGGAGGGGAAAAAGCGCCAGAUCUUGUGAGAACACGAAAACGCAAGAGCAGGAGAGCGUGAGAAUCUCGCGAGAAAGCGCGCAGAUUCCUGAGAGAACCAGGUUGCCUGAGAAAACCUCUGGGCUCCUGAGAGAGGGAGAGAGAAAGGGGCACUGUCUCGUGUUGGCUCAGCGAUUGUAGAUUUCAUUGGCUUUAGCCAAAGGAGAACUUUCCAACAGAGAUUGAAACUUAAGAAGCACUAAACAAGAAAUCCAGUAGAGUGGAAGACCAAGGGACAGAAAAGUCAAGAAACUUAUUUAAGGUGUCAUUGCUAGAAAGUGGUUGAACCAGGAUUCAGCACAACCAGCCUGGCCUAGAAUCUGUGUUUUAAACACAGGUACGUUGUAUUUUUUUAAUCAAAUAAACUUUCUGAACCUGAAAAUUUGUAUAAGAUCACAAAUAAAGGAUAAAUUUGCCAAAUAAAUUCUGUUCUAAGAUGGGAAGAAGUAUUUUGGAGGCCCCCCAUUUUACUCCAAGCGACAGACCUCUGUAUUUCUGUGCAGUCUUGGUUUUCUCUUCAAAAGUCUGUGACAAGGAUAGGUACAGACAACUUAAAUAAAGUAAAGAUAAAAAGUAUUUAUUAGUCUUGAGAGCAUUGCAAUGACUGUUGGCCUGAGAGUAAAUUCUGGGUAGUGAUUCAACCAAUAUCUAUUUGAAUUAUAAAUGGUAGGAGAAUAUGCAUCAACAACUUGAUAACAAUAGAAAAAACAUUUUAAAAGAAAUGCUAGUAUUUAGAAGGACAAGACAAUUUUAAAAAUUUAGGGAUAAAUAAUGGAAACUUUUUAUAGACUGAAGGGAAUGAAUGCCACUAAGCAAGAAGAUGUUAGAUAAAAGAGAGGGUAUGGUAUAAGUGAUAGAGGCAAGAAGCAAAGAGGAUAUUAGUUUUCUAAGUUAUAGCAAAAUAUCACUGUCUACUGAUUAGCAAUCCUUUCAAUAUAAUUAAAAGUAGAAAGUGUUUUCCUAGUGGCGUGAUGUGAGAUGACUCAAGUGAAAAUUUUGGAGUGUGCAGUGGAAGAUUGAAAGCAGUCAAGGCACAAAAAAUAGGGAGUAUAGAAUAGGAAGACUGAAAGUCACAAAUGUUCUUAAAUUGGAGCAUUUAGUCUUCUCCUGGGGAAAUUAGUGGGGCAGAUAUGGAAAGUGGCAGAGCUACAAAGAUAAAUUUUGCGUAAUAUGAAAUUUUUAUUAUGACCAAUCCAGUUAGUAGAAUUUAUUGCAAUUUUAGUGUUCAAGAGGCUAUUAGAGACAAAUAUGUGUCAAAUUGAAAGUAAUGUAACUAAUGUGAAAGAAUAUGAUUUUUCAGUACUUUACAAAGCUAUUUGGUAACUGAUGUGCUGCACAGCUAUAUUCUAUUCACAUAUAAUGGAGGAAUUACCAUGAUAAUUUAUCUUCUUGGUCACUCAGUAUCAUAAAUUUAGCUUUCUUGCCUGUACUUACUUUUGUGUAAUGAUAUUUUUUACCAUAAUGUAUCUUCAUCUGAAAACCACUGUUAGUCUCUUUUGUUAAAUUCCUGAAUAAGUAAAUGGCUUGGUAAAGUUAGGAGCUUAUUUUAAAGAAUGUUUUAAGGAAGAAUUGCCUUCUCAGAAUGAAUUGGUUUAGUUAGGCUUUGUAUGAUUUUUAAAAAUUCUUAAUUUAAAAAAGGGGGAAAGAUAUGAAACAAACUAUGUUCUCAUCCUUAAAUUCUCCAGUUUUGUGGAAAAACCCCUCAAGGCCUGGACCAAUAUUCUUGUAGCUGACAUUCUUGGUUUGGAACAGAUUAGCAAAACAGACACUGUUUUCCCCUUUUGCUUCCAUAGACUCUGAAUUCCUCACUAUAGUGCUCUCCUUAGCAGUUUGGAAACCCACUAGAAACCUGGUGUGAAUAGCUAUCUAACUUUUAGAUAGAUUUGGAAUGUCUUUUGAUCACCAGUCUGUUUGUUGGCCUCUACAGCUAUUAUUGCUUACAGAAAUCUCAGUUCUAUUUAGUUGAUGUCCUUCUUUACUAUUUUUUCUCCUUCUUCUUUCUUCUCCUGCUGCCAGUAGGGGUCAUCCUGAAAUGAUAUGUGGAGUGUGUUUGUUUUACUAAUUAUUGACAAAUUUUCAUUGCUAAAAUUUUACUGUGUGGCUUAACAAAUGUUUAGCAUGCUCUCAUGACACCAAUGGGCAUCAAGGUCUUAACAAAAAAGCUCUUGUAAAGGUAAGUCAGAUUAGUUUCAUCAUUUGACCAUAGCUACCAACAAGGAAGAAAAUUAAAAGUGGCAAUACAAAAUGUUAGCAUUUUAUUUAGCACUUAGGGUCUUCUAGAUAUUGUUAUAGUUGAAGUUUUCUUCUUCAUUUCUUACUAUAGAUCUAGGAAAUAAACAUUAUUAUUACCAAUAGUAUCCUAUUUGACAAACACUUAAAGUCUGUAUAAGUGAUGUGAAGUGAGAUAGGUCCUCUAAUUCUAGUCCCAGUGCUUAUACUUCCCAAAGGAACUGUUGCAACUAACCCAUCAUGUCUUAAUUCCAUAUUGUUAUCACUCAGCGUGCAGAGCAAAGACAUCAUCGAAACCAGCUUUAUCUUCUUAAAUGCUCUAAAGUUUCUUGUCCUUAGGCAGAUCCACUACCCAAAUCUUUCCACCAUGCUUUCCUGAACUGACCAUCUUUAACAAGCAGACUAUUAUAUCUGUUACCAUCUCUUUGAGCAUUUCCAUCAACUGCUUGACAUAACCAAAAUUCCACCUGAUGACAUCACCCACUCUCCUAUAGCCCUUGCAAGUGGUGUCAGUAUUGGUUAAGAUGUAGAACAACUAUAAAUCACAUGCAUUGCUGGAGGGAAUAUAUAUUGGUAUAACCAAUCUGUCAAACUAGCCAUAAUAACCCAGCUUAUAAUCCUAGAUAUAAAGCCAACAAAAUUUUAUUCAUGUCUUCACCAAAAUAUAGGCACUAAAAUUUUAUUUUUAUACUAUUUAUUAUAGCUCCAGAUCUUUAUUGUGGUUUAGAACAUCCUAGAAUUAAAGAAAAUAUACAGGUUUUAUAUUUGUUUUAUUUCAACCAACGUAUUUUUGUAAGAUAUAUCCACAUUGUUGUAACUAAUAUUCACUGUCUUUGCUGUAUAUAAUAAGGUAUCAUUAUACCAUACUUUAUUAAAUUGUAGACAUCUGUAGUCCAUAGCUGUCUGUGUGUAUAGUAUUGAUAGAGGUCAAAAUACAUUUUUAAUGUGUCAUCUUUGUCAUAAGUCAA
ensembl:lncRNA